AUUGAACGCUGGCGGCAGGCCUACCACAUGCAAGUCGAGCGGAGCGGCGGACGGGUGCGUAAUGCCUAGGAAUCUGCCUGGUAGUGGGGGAUACCGUCAGGAUACGGGCGCUAAUACCGCAUCCUAUCAGAUGCGCCUCGGUCGGAUUAGCUAGUUGGUGGGGUAAUGGCCUACCAAGGCGACGAUCAGUAACUGGUCUGAGAGGAUGAUCAGUCAAACUGGAACGGAGAAACGGGCCAGAAUCCUACGGGAGGCAGCAGUGGGGAAUAUUGGACAAUGGGCGAAAGCCUGAUCCAGCCAUGCCGCGUGUGGGAAGAAGGUCUUCGGAUUGUAAAGCACUUUAAGUUGGGAGGCGUUACCAACAGAGUAAGCACAGGCUAACUUCGUGCCAGCAGCCGCGGUAAUUC
rnacentral:rRNA from 1 species